UCUCCUCGACGGGCGCGGUGCUCAAUCGCAAGAAACCCCUAUCCCUUCUCUUCUCCUUCUUAUUCUUCCUCUAUUCCUCUGUUUCCAGAUAAGGUGGACCCUCCGUUUGUAGUGUUGUCAUAGGAGCCACGGGUGAGCUCACAAGAGGGAAGAUUUUUGCGGCUAUAUUCGCUCUCUACUACAGUGGCUUCCUUUUUCAUACCAUCAUAAUCAUUGCUUGCCAUGACUUGGGAUCCCCCUUUUAGUUAUUUGAUGCCAUAGUAUUGGAAGACAUAAUCAGCAUCUUCCUUACUUCUGCAUUUCUUAAACUUAUUCAAGGUAUGUUGCUGAUUGAUGUCAUUAAUGUUAGUUUAAUUGGAUGUGCCAAAAGAAGUUAAUUUAGUUGGCUAAUAUAGUCAUAAUAGAAUAAUUUCUCCUUUUCAACAGCAAUUUUAGACAUCACCUUUUUACAUGGAAAGCCAGAUAUACAAUGGAAUAUUCUCAAAAAGUGAAACUCUUGAUGAAGCUGAUCUUUGCUCUUAUAUGGACUAUUGUUCUUCCUGUUUGCUAUGCUAAUUCAAGAAGAAAAUAUACUUGUUAUUCUACUAAGUAUGGAACCUUGGUUGAGGAAUGGUGCUUUACAUCCUAUAUGGUUGCGGCAGCCAUAUACUUAACAAGUUCAUGAGUAUGCGAUACUUCUAAAUCUGGGCUCCCUUCAAGCAAUAUCAAUGAAAGAUUGUGUACUUAUAUUUGAAUAUAAUCGUAAAGGAGGGCAAGCUUUUCUGGAGUCAUUGUUGCCCAGGUUGAACCCCAAGAACAGUAACGGAGGGCUAUCAAUGCCAUUUGAACUCGAAAUUUGGCUACAACUUGUUUAUAGUUGGAUGAGGUUUUCUGAAGAGAUAAAGGAGAUUCUUGGGACAAUAGUGAAGCACAAAGUCCUUUUAGUUUCAAAUGAAAAAAUUAGUUUUUUUUGUUCAAGUUUAUCAUGAGAAAAACAUGUAUUUUAUUUGCUUAUGUUUAAUUUUUAUUUGACUUGGUAACUUAGCAAGUAUAUGUUAAUUGAUACUUGGAACACCUUUCUAUAUACAUGCAAUAUAUAUUAUUAGCCUAUUCUCCCUA